UACGAAGGGGGCUAGCGUUGCUCGGAAUCACUGGGCGUAAAGGGUGCGUAGGCGGGUCUUUAAGUCAGGGGUGAAAUCCUGGAGCUCAACUCCAGAACUGCCUUUGAUACUGAGGAUCUUGAGUUCGGGAGGGGUGAGUGGAACUGCGAAGUGUAGAGGUGAAAUUCGUAGAUAUUCGCAAGAACACCAGUGGCGAAGGCGGCUCACUGGCCCGGUACUGACGCUGAGGUGCGGAAAGCGUGGGGAGCAAACAGGG
rnacentral:rRNA from 1 species